rnacentral:lncRNA from 1 species
UUAUUAGCCUAUUGUAUUUCAGUGUAGAACUUCUGAAUUCAAAUAGAUCCACUUCUUUCUUACAGAUGUCGUCUGCUGCUGAGAAUGGAGACACAGCACCUGGGAAGCAAAACGAAGAGAAAACCUAUAAAAAGAUCUUCCCUCCAAGUCUGUCAGCUUUCAUAGAGGAUCACCUGCCCUUCUGACUUCUUUCUCGAAAAGUCCUC